rnacentral:rRNA from 1 species
AACGCGAAGAACCUUACCCAGGCUCGAAAUGUAGAGGGCGAUACCAGAAAUGGUAUUUUCCGCAAGGACUUCUAUAUAGGUGCUGCAUGGCUGUCGUCAGCUCGUGCCGUGAGGUGUUGGGUUAAGUCCCGCAACGAGCGCAACCCUUAUCAUUAGUUGCCAACACGCGAGGUGGGGACUCUAAUGAGACUGCCUAGGUUAACUAGGAGGAAGGUGAGGAUGACGUCAAGUCCGCAUGGCCUUUAUGUCUGGGGCUACACACGUGCUACAAUGGUCGGUACAGAAGGCAGCAAAGCCGUAAGGUGGAGCAAAUCCGUAAAGCCGGCCUCAGUUCAGAUUGUAGUCUGCAACUCGACUACAUGAAGUUGGAAUUGCUAGUAAUGACGUGUCAGCUACAACGUCGUGAAUACGUUCCCGGGCCUUGUA